CCUGGGAUAGCUCAGUUGGUAGAGCACGAAACUCUUAAUCCCAGGGUUGUGGGUUGGACAAUAGAUUCCUGCAGGACAGGA